rnacentral:lncRNA from 1 species
CCCCCUGCCUUGAAAGUGAUUGAACCUGGGGUGCUGCAAUUGCCCUCAUGCUCGGGGAUGCUCCAGUGCCCACAUUGCAAGCACGGCUUCACGGUAAAUGUUGAAGCCUACGAGGGAAUUUCCUUUGCAAAAAUGGUUCGGAAAGGAGUUAGUGAGAAACGGGUUGAGAAGAAACAACCCGACCCACUUCCAAUCAUUGUGCAGGACUCGAUCUAGAGGAGGCCUGAGGUUCAAAAUUUAAUUUUUCUUGGCUGGCAGGCUUCUUUCGUCUGACCCAGAGGAAACCUGUGGACUCGUUU